UGGGGAAUUUUGGACAAUGGGGGAAACCCUGAUCCAGCCAUCCCGCGUGUGCGGUGAAGGCCUUCGGGUUGUAAAGCACUUUUGGCAGGAAAGAAACGUCGCGGGUUAAUACCCCGCGAAACUGACGGUACCUGCAGAAUAAGCACCGGCUAACUACGUGCCAGCAGCCGCGGUAAUACGUAGGGUGCAAGCGUUAAUCGGAAUUACUGGGCGUAAAGCGUGCGCAGGCGGUUCGGAAAGAAAGAUGUGAAAUCCCAGAGCUUAACUUUGGAACUGCAUUUUUAACUACCGGGCUAGAGUGUGUCAGAGGGAGGUGGAAUUCCGCGUGUAGCAGUGAAAUGCGUAGAUAUGCGGAGGAACACCGAUGGCGAAGGCAGCCUCCUGGGAUAACACUGACGCUCAUGCACGAAAGCGUGGGGAGCAAACAGGAUUAGAUACCCUGGUAGUCCACGCCCUAAACGAUGUCAACUAGCUGUUGGGGCCUUCGGGCCUUGGUAGCGCAGCUAACGCGUGAAGUUGACCGCCUGGGGAGUACGGUCGCAAGAUUAAAACUCAAAGGAAUU
rnacentral:rRNA from 1 species